rnacentral:rRNA from 1 species
GGUAGAGUUCUUCGGAACUUGAGACCGGCGCACGGGUGCGUAACGCGUAUGCAAUCUACCUUUUACAGAGGGAUAGCCCAGAGAAAUUUGGAUUAAUACCUCAUAGCAUAGCAGUCUCGCAUGAGAUCACUAUUAAAGUCACAACGGUAAAAGAUGAGCAUGCGUCCCAUUAGCUAGUUGGUAAGGUAACGGCUUACCAAGGCUACGAUGGGUAGGGGUCCUGAGAGGGAGAUCCCCCACACUGGUACUGAGACACGGACCAGACUCCUACGGGAGGCAGCAGUGAGGAAUAUUGGACAAUGGGCGCAAGCCUGAUCCAGCCAUGCCGCGUGCAGGAUGACGGUCCUAUGGAUUGUAAACUGCUUUUAUACGAGAAGAAACACUGCUUCGUGAAGCAGCUUGACGGUAUCGUAAGAAUAAGGAUCGGCUAACUCCGUGCCAGCAGCCGCGGUAAUACGGAGGAUCCAAGCGUUAUCCGGAAUCAUUGGGUUUAAAGGGUCCGUAGGCGGUUUAAUAAGUCAGUGGUGAAAGCCCAUCGCUCAACGGUGGAACGGCCAUUGAUACUGUUAAACUUGAAUUAUUAGGAAGUAACUAGAAUAUGUAGUGUAGCGGUGAAAUGCUUAGAGAUUACAUGGAAUACCAAUUGCGAAGGCAGGUUACUACUAAUGGAUUGACGCUGAUGGACGAAAGCGUGGGUAGCGAACAGGAUUAGAUACCCUGGUAGUCCACGCCGUAAACGAUGGAUACUAGCUGUUGGAAGCAAUUUCAGUGGCUAAGCGAAAGUGAUAAGUAUCCCACCUGGGGAGUACGUUCGCAAGAAUGAAACUCAAAGGAAUUGACGGGGGCCCGCACAAGCGGUGGAGCAUGUGGUUUAAUUCGAUGAUACGCGAGGAACCUUACCAAGGCUUAAAUGUAGAUUGACCGGUUUGGAAACAGAUCUUUCGCAAGACAAUUUACAAGGUGCUGCAUGGUUGUCGUCAGCUCGUGCCGUGAGGUGUCAGGUUAAGUCCUAUAACGAGCGCAACCCCUGUUGUUAGUUGCCAGCGAGUCAUGUCGGGAACUCUAACAAGACUGCCAGUGCAAACUGUGAGGAAGGUGGGGAUGACGUCAAAUCAUCACGGCCCUUACGCCUUGGGC